AACUUUUGGCAAUGGGUCACUUGGCUCUCGCGUCGAUGAAGAACGCAGCGAAAUGCGAUAAGUAAUGUGAAUUGCAGAAUUCAGUGAAUCAUCGAAUCUUUGAACGCAUCUUGCGCUCCUUGGUAUUCCGAGGAGCAUGCCUGUUUGAGUGUCAUUUAAGUUCUCAACCACAACAGUGGCUUGGAUGUGGGGGGAAAUUUAUUUUGCAGGCUUUGAAAAUGAAGUCGGCUCCCCUGAAAUGCAUUAGUAGUAUCUGAGCAGAAAAACUACUACAGGUGUGAUAACUUAUCUAUGCCUUUGUAUUCUGCAUGAAUGGAUUGCACUGCUUAUAACCAAAAACCUUUUUGAUAAAUUUGACCUCAAAUCAGGUAGGACUACCCGCUGAACUUAAGCAUAUCAAUAAGCGGAG
rnacentral:misc_RNA from 1 species